rnacentral:rRNA from 1 species
GGCUAACGCUGGCGGCGUGUCUUAGCCAUGCAAGUCGAGCGGACUUAUGGGGUAACUUAUAAGUCAGCGGCGGACGGCGGAGUAACACGUAGCUAACCUACCCUCUGGACGGGGAUAACCUACCGAAAGGUGGGCUAAUACCCGAUGUAGUCAUCCUGUAUAGGGGUGAUGAAAGGUGGGCUUCUGUUUACAAGCUCAUGCUGGAGGAGGGGGCUGCGGCCUAUCAGGUAGUUGGUAGGGUAAUAGCCUACCAAGCCGAUGACGGGUAGCCGGCCUGAGAGGGUGACCGGCCCGAGGGGCACUGAGAUACGGGUCCCACUCCUACGGGAGGCAGCAGGCUAGAAAUUUGGGCAAUGGGGGAAACCCUGACCCAGUGACGCCGCGUGCAGGAAGGAGCCCUUCGGGGUGUAAACUGCUGUCGUGUAGGGGAGAAGGGUACUAAGGUGAACAAUCUUAGUACUUGACGGUACUACAGGAGGAAGCCCGGGCUAACCUCGUGCCGAGCAGCCGCGGUAAUAUAGCGUACU